AGCGAACGCUGGCGGCAGGCCUAACACAUGCAAGUCGAACGAACCUUUCGGGGUUAGUGGCGGACGGGUGAGUAACACGUGGGAACGUGCCUUUAGGUUCGGAGUAACUCAGGGAAACUUGUGCUAAUACCGAAUGUGCCCUUCGGGGGAAAGAUUUAUCGCCUUUAGAGCGGCCCGCGUCUGAUUAGCUAGUUGGUUGAGGUAAUGGCUCACCAAGGCGACGAUCAGUAGCUGGUCUGAGAGGAUGAUCAGCCACAUUGGGACUGAGACACGGCCUAAACUCCUACGGGAGGCAGCAGUGGGGAAUCUUGCGCAAUGGGCGAAAGCCUGACGCAGCCAUGCCGCGUGAAUGAUGAAGGUCUUAGGAUUGUAAAAUUCUUUCACCGGGGACGAUAAUGACGGUACCCGGAGAAGAAGCCCCGGCUAACUUCGUG
rnacentral:rRNA from 1 species